rnacentral:rRNA from 1 species
AGUGAACGCUGGCGGCGUGCCUAAUACAUGCAAGUCGAACGGAGUGGCGCACGGGGGAGUAAUAUAUAGCUAAUCUGCCCCUUGCUGGAGGACAACAGUUAGAAAUGACUGCUAAUACUCCAUAGCAAGGGAUGAGACUAUAUCGUAUCAGCUAGUCGGUGGGGUAACGGCCUACCGAGGCUAUGACGCGUAACUGGUCUGCGAGGAUGAUCAGCAACAUUGGAACUGAGACACCGUCCAAACUCAUACGGGAGGCAGCAGUAGCGAAUAUCGCGCAAUGGGGGAAACCCUGACGCAGCAACGCCGUGUGGAGUAUGACACUUUUCGGAGAGUAAACUCUUUUUGUUAGGGAAGCGUUACCUAACGAAGAAGCACCGGCUAACUCCGUGCCAGCAGCCGCGGUAAUAC